UGGGGAAUAUUGCGCAAUGGGGGAAACCCUGACGCAGCAACGCCGCGUGAAGGAAGAAGGUCUUCGGAUUGUAAACUUUUGUCUUAUGGGAAGAAAAAAAUGACGGUACCAUAGGAGGAAGCCACGGCUAACUACGUGCCAGCAGCCGCGGUAAUACGUAGGUGGCGAGCGUUGUCCGGAAUUACUGGGUGUAAAGGGCGUGUAGGCGGGACUUUAAGUCAGAUGUGAAAUACCCGAGCUUAACUCGGGCCGUGCAUUUGAAACUGAGGUUCUUGAGUGGUGGAGAGGAAAGCGGAAUUCCUAGUGUAGCGGUGAAAUGCGUAGAUAUUAGGAGGAACACCAGUGGCGAAGGCGGCUUUCUGGACACUAACUGACGCUGAGGCGCGAAAGCGUGGGGAGCAAACA
rnacentral:rRNA from 1 species